UGAGAUACAUUUGUAAAGAUGUUGAACCUC
rnacentral:piRNA from 1 species